rnacentral:rRNA from 1 species
UUACGGUCAUAUCGCGUUGAAACACCGGUUCUCGUACGAUCACGGAAGUUAAGCAACGUCAAGGCUGAUCAGUAUCGAGAUGCGUGACCGCUUGGGAAUACCAGGUGCUGCGAG